AGUGAACGCUGGCGGUAGGCCUAACACAUGCAAGUCGAACGGCAGCACAGUAAGAGCUUGCUCUUACGGGUGGUGAGUGGCGGACGGGUGAGGAAUACAUCGGAAUCUACUUUUUCGUGGGGGAUAACGUAGGGAAACUUACGCUAAUACCGCAUACGACCUACGGGUGAAAGCAGGGGAUCUUCGGACCUUGCGCGAUUGAAUGAGCCGAUGUCGGAUUAGCUAGUUGGCGGGGUAAAGGCCCACCAAGGCGACGAUCCGUAGCUGGUCUGAGAGGAUGAUCAGCCACACUGGAACUGAGACACGGUCCAGACUCCUACGGGAGGCAGCAGUGGGGAAUAUUGGACAAUGGGCGCAAGCCUGAUCCAGCCAUACCGCGUGGGUGAAGAAGGCCUUCGGGUUGUAAAGCCCUUUUGUUGGGAAAGAAAAGCAGCAGGUUAAUACCCCGCUGUUCUGACGGUACCCAAAGAAUAGCACCGGCUAACUUCGUG
rnacentral:rRNA from 1 species